CUUUUUUUUAUUUGUAAGUCGCUCUGGAUAAGAGCGUCUGCUAAAUGACUUAAA
rfam:Salmo salar isolate Sally breed double haploid chromosome ssa01, whole genome shotgun sequence.